rnacentral:rRNA from 1 species
CAGUAGCCGCGGUAAUACGGAGGGGGCUAGCGUUGUUCGGAAUUACUGGGCGUAAAGCGCACGUAGGCGGCUUGGUAAGUUAGAGGUGAAAGCCUGGAGCUCAACUCCAGAAUUGCCUUUAAGACUGCCGAGCUAGUAGGUGAGAGAGGUAAGUGGAAUUCCGAGUGUAGAGGUGAAAUUCGUAGAUAUUCGGAAGAACACCAGUGGCGAAGGCGGCUUACUGGCUCAUUCUAGACGCUGAGGUGCGAAAGCGUGGGGAGCAAACAGGAUUAGAUACCCCAGUAGUCCCUGUCUCUUAUAC